UCGCUGUGAUGAAUGAUCCUUAAACAUUCGUAGUUUCCACUAAAAGCUUAGCUAAUGAUAGCCUAACUUCCUUGGAUGUCUGAGCGA
rnacentral:snoRNA from 1 species